GCGAAACGUCGGGAGGGAAUACUUCUGGAACAUGGCCAUACAGCCCGGAAAACAUACAACCACCCUGUGAUCCCGGCCCUGGGAAGCGCAGCCCAACGGGUGACCCCUUUUGCUGUUUCUCCGGGUCCCAAUGCUAGUUCCAAAUACCUUCCUGAAAGCAACGCUCGGUGUUGCCAUUUGAGGCAAGGGACGCCAAGGAGUCAUGCCCUCCCCCGUGUUUCUGGGGACUUGAGCACCCGCGGAUUCGGGUGAGUCCUGGAAGCGCAGCCCAACGGGUGCCGGGGCCCUCUGUGCUCCUUGGGGGCUGCUCUGUAGGCGGGCAACCCGGCCCUCCCUCGCUGCCUCGUGGGUGCCUCCCCCUUCCUUGGCGACCACCUGGGAGCCGGCGGGGAGUGACGGGGCCUGCGCGGGAGGGCACGGCGCGCCUUCUCAUCCCCGGGGCGGCGUGGGCAGGGCGGCGCGAGGGCAGGCGUGCUCUGUCCCCUUUCCUGCGUGGUGCCGCUGACUGUGUCUGGGGGAAGGAGGGGCUCGGAGGCGUUUCCCCGCCUCCCUCCCUCCCUGUCUUCGCCGGGGAAGGACCGAGGAGCAGCAGGCGGAGCCGGGGGCGGGAGGCGAAGGCGGCGGGAGAGAAGCAGGCAGGGAGGGGGCCGGCCUCCCAGAGCCGGUAUAAAAGCCCCGCGCCCGGCCGCUCCGCCCUGCUUGCCAUCGGCUCCGCGGCAGGUUCCCGCGUGGCUCCGCUCGCUCCUUCCCUCGCUCUCGCUCUCUCUGCCCGGCCCUCGAUGGUGCUGCCCGGAGGGGCCGGCCUCGCCAUGUCGCGCUCGGAGGAGGUGCCCCGCAUCACGGAAAAUGUCUACAAGUGAUAGGAGAAGCCCUCUGUAUGCCACAAUGAUGAGAGAAAUACUGUAGGUGCUUGGGGAAGAGAGCAAGUUGCC
rnacentral:lncRNA from 11 species